UGAUAAUCCAAAACCAAAAAAAUACUAGCAAUUCCAUCAUCCUGAAUUCUUAAAGAUUUUACAAAGAGAGUUUCAAAUACUAUCAUUUUCUAUUAUCUUAAAUCCUAAAAGAUAGAUAUUUUUAACUUCAUGAAUUGAUGGAGCAUUAGAGAAUCAAAGUAUUAAACAAGUAAAUCAUAAAUCUUGCUCCUUCUAGUGACUUCCUCAGAAAAU
rnacentral:misc_RNA from 1 species